UAUUUCACUCUCCUCUUAGUUUUCCUUCCCAAAGUGGAGUGUUUGAAUCUUGUCAUAUUCCUUUUCUUCUCGUCUGUCUCUAAUUUGAAUUUUCUAUUAAUAUCAAUAUAGUUUAAUUAUGAGUUUACUUUGAAUUUUUUCUUUUUGUUUCAUGUACCUUGAUCCGUGUAUACAUUCUAAAAGAUGUUCUCGUAACCUAGAACUCAUACCACUUGACUGAGAAGUCGAACAUACAUUUCACCAGCGGAGAAGCACACCUUGGUGGAACUGCCAUUCACCACCAUGGCCAAAGUCGAAAGAGCACUGAGGUAAUUUGCCACCCUAAUGACAACCCCUUUAGCGAUCCAACAUCCUACUAUCGUGGCCAACAAUUUUGAGAUCAAACCAGUCGUGAUCACUAUGCUGUAGAAUUCAUCCGUAUUUUGUGGUUUGCCGAAUGAAGAUCCAAAUGUACAUCUUGCAGUAUAUUUGGAGAUUUGUGACACAUCCAAGUUCAAUGGGUGACUGAUGAUGUGAUUUGUUUAAAGUUAUUCUUCUUCUCCUUGAAGGAUAAAGCCAAGCUUUAGUUAUUGUCACAGCCACAAGACUCUAUUUGUACUUGAGAUGACUUAUCAAAGAAAUUCAUUGCUAAGUUUUUCCCUCCAACCAAAACUGCAAAAUUUUGGCAAGAUAUUAUAUCUCUUGCUUAGUAUGAUAAGAAACCUUUUUAUGAAGCUUGGGAAUGAUUCAAAGAUUUAUUGCGCAAGUGUCCUCACCAUGAGCUCCCAACUUGGAUUCAUGUUGUUCAGACUUUUAUAAUAGAUUAAGUUAAACAAGCAGAACAUUAGUUGACGCAGCAACUAGAGACACUUUUAAUGGGAAAAAUGGCUACAAAAGCAUUUGAAUUAUUGCAGACCAUAGCUUUCAACAGCUACUAGUGGUCGAGUGAGAGAGUGAGCUUGAAGCCAGCUGGGGUCUUGGAAGUGGGCUUUGUUAACAUCAUAAAAUUCUAACCUUACUAAAACAGUUGAUUAUUUGAGUGUUAAUGUUGUGAACACUAAUACUAAAUUUGGUUGUUAUUUUUAGGUUGGCCCUUAUACAAGUUAUGAGUGCACCACAUGGGACCCAAUCGUGUCCGUUGAGCUAGUAAAUCAGGUUGCAGAAUUUAAUCGACAAGGGAAUAAUCCUUAUUCCAACAUAUACAACCCUGGUUAGUGAAACCAUCCAAAUUCUCAUGGAGCAAUAAUCAGAAUGCGCAGACACCACCACCUGGCUUUCUGCCUCAAGGGAAGAAAAUAAAUUUGGAAGAUGCUCUUACUCAGUUGACUAUGUCUACUACUCAAUUUAUGAUUGAAACAAAAACCCAACUUCAGAAUCAGCAAGCUUUUAUUCGGAAUUUGGAGGUGCAAUUAGACCAACUAACUAAUGUAAUGAGUGGAAGAAACCGAAGGGUAUUUCCAAGCCAAGCCAAUGUUAAUCCGAAAUAUCAAGAACAAGAAAAGGCAAUCACUCUUCGACUUGGGAAAAAAAAAUUAGAACAAGAGAAAGAAGCUGAGAAGUUUGUGGAGGAAGUAGGGCAUGAGGUCGAACCGCCACUCACCACCCCACAGCCCACUGCCAAGAAAUCCUAAGAAGAAGAAAAUUUUGUUGCCAUGUCGUCUCCUUCCCCUAAUUGAAUCCAUAUGUCCCAUAGAUCCCUUUAACAUAGAGGUUGAAGUAAAAAAAAAUUCUAAAUUCUUAGAGAUGUUCAAAAAGUUGUAGAUAUUUUCUAUGAGAGAAGAAUAUAAAGUGAUAUCCAGUGAGGAUUAGAGUCAAACUGAAAUAAUUCCAUGACAUUCAAAUGUGGUUAUUUUUAGGAUUUGAUGUUAUGAGUUUUGGUACUAGACAUUACACUAUGAUGCAAUUUACUCAUUAUGGCAUAUCUUUAGUGUUGCAAGUAUGAUUGGUGUGCAUUGGUAUUUAUUUGCUUGUUUAAAGUGGUUCCUUUAACGACUUUCUUUCGUAGUAAAAUGUUUGUGGGUAUUGUAACUGGUAAACCCCAAGGAAACAUAACUCCUCUUACUAGGAACACCUAGAGGUUUAACGGCUUGUGACACAUGCUAAGUGCCAUCAAGAUUACCUUUGAAAGUGGUUUAGUUAAUUUGUCGUUUUGUUCUUGUUUUUGUAGCCAAUUUUGCUCGAGGAUUAGCAAAAGAUAUGUUUGAGGUAGUUUGAGAUGUUUAUAUUUUACAUAUAGAAUCUAUAUGUGUUUUCUUUGUUUUCGUAUCAAAUUUGUUAGUUCUAUGAGUUUAGUGUUGAUUUUGUAGGCAAUCAUCUCUAGCAAUUAACAGUUUUCAUACUCAGAAGAUUUUAAAUAAAAAACAAAAUGAGAACAUAUGUCCUAUUUUUAUAGGAUAUGAGUAAAUCUAUUUUCUUUUAAUUAAAAAGAAAAAGCUAAAAAAAUACAAUUUUUUUUUUUUAAAAAAAAAAAAGGCAAUUGGCACACACUUAGUUUAAGAUAAAAACAGUGUUGACUUCAAAGUCAUUUUCAAAAUUAAGAACAAAUCUUUUAUCCAAGAACUAUGACAUCUGCUUAGAAGUACAACUACUAGGCGAUGUGAUUAGGAUGUGGAGUACGUAGACACACACUUUUGUAUGUGAAAGGAAAAUCAAGUCCUAAAGACUACGAAAACUUAAAAAAUUUCCUGAGGUAGUGCUCACCACGUUGAGGCAUCCAUCUUUCUUGCUCAUUGUUCUAUCUCUCUCGUAGGACUAUCAUUUUAUUACUGGUUUUGGAUUUCUAUUUAAAUGUUGCAACUAUUUAGAUUAUCUCUUUGAUAUAACCUUGUGUUUGGGUGUUGUGAAUUGUUUAAAAGGUUUGAGACCUUGUUGGUAAAAAUUUUGGUUGUGGAGAUGUUGUUAUUGCUAUUGUUGAGUUUUUGUAUAUACAUUGUGACUUUCUUACAUGUGGAGAAUUUGGGAGUUGUGCCAUUUACAAAGGUUACUUUGCCGAAUUUUCUGAAGAAGUCAAAGCCUCAUGUUGCUUCCAAACAUGGGAUUAAAGUAGCUUAAUUUUGUGGGCCCAAUACUCCUUGGGUGUUGGGCAUGCUUAGGACUCCUCGUAGGUCCCUUAGGGGGGUCCUGGCACCUCUCUUCUUUGUUUUUUCUUCUGGGUUAGUGAAUAAGUCUCUUCGAGCAUUUUGAAUAAGAAGCCACUCUGAGCCAUAUACUUAUAUCAAAUUCCCCAUAACCUCUUUUUGCCUAAUUACUCAAUAAAAUCCUUCUCUAAAAAGACUCUCUCUAAAACUUCUCAUAUUCCCUUAAUUUUGUUCUACCUUGCAUUUGAAGGAGUUUGCUGCAAUCUGCCCAAUUGUUUUUUGGCAUGAUUGUUCAAUUAACAUAUUUGUUCACUAUUAUCUAGUUAGAUUACUGGAAAUAAUGUUCUCCCCAAAAUUGUCACAGGUUUUGCACUAGCUUAAGGCUAGAUGCAGUGUUGGUAGGAAGAUAAUUAAUUUGAUUUUGUCAUGGUCAAUCUUUGUUUUUUUUAGAGAACAAUCUUUGAGCUUCUAUAGUUGUGUUUGCAGUCAUAAUUAAGAAAAAGUAGAAUUGGAACAUUAGUCUUUGUUUGUGUUUAUUUUUUUUAUUUUUUUUUUGCUUUUGAUACAAGUGAUAUUCUACCCUAAACUAUGGAGAGGGUGAUUCAAAUUUGGGUGCAGAGUGGGGAGCAUAUUCACUCAGCCAAUUUGUUUAUGUUGCUGUCUUAUUAAUAUAGAUGAUGUUUUAAUUCAAUAACUCUUGGAUUGUAUUAUAUUGUGGUCAUUUUGAUUCGCAAUUGGAUUUUAAUUUUGAGGGGGCAUUUAAGCUUAUUGAAGUGGGUUUUUGACAUUUAAAUAUAUAUAUAUAUAUAUAUAUAUUUGUAAAAAGUGACAUUUAUAACAGAGAUAUUUAGUGAUAAACUCAUUCCUAGCACUAAUAAUAUAGAUAAACCCUACAUCAUUAAAUUUGUGAUAAACCCAUUCCUAGCACUAAUAAUAUAGAUAAACCCUACAUCAUUAAUAAAUAAACCCAAAAAAAACCCAAAAAAUGACAGCUGACCCUAUUGAAUUUAAGUUUGAUUAUUAAAUUACUUUGAUACCCUAUUGAGUAUUUUGGAUUUUUUUUAAUAAGGUUUUGGGGUUGGGCUUGUUUUAAGAAAUUGAUGGUAGUUUUAUAAUUUAUAAAAAGUUAAAAGCCUCUUUUUUUGUUAUAAGUUACAAAAGAAGUAAAAAGCCUCUUUGUUAUGUUGUAAAUGAGUUUUAAGUGUAUUUCUAAAAUUCAUUUUAUAUAGGGUAUUUUAUAAUUUGAGGCCCCUAUAUUGGGUAUAAUAGUGAAUCUCCUUUUAUAAAAUGGGUGUCUAUAUUUUGUCUAUACCUCAUAAGAUGUUUCCGGCUUUUUUAACAAAACUCAUGAGGUUUCAAAAAUUACAAGAAUACCCCCUGAGGUUUCAAAUUGUUUUCACAAAACCCUUUUUUGUUGAUUGUUCAUCACAACUUGAUGAUUUCAAUUUAAUUUUUUUGUGUGCAAAUGACAAAAUCAACCUCAAUAAAUGUAUGUGCAAUCUAAUCUCAAAGGCUAACUUUGUUAUUUGGAGAAAUAUUUUACAUAUAAAGUCAUUAAUUUUUGGAUGAAAAAUUAACGAAAAGGGGUUUUGUGAAAAUAAUUUGAAACCUCAAGCGUGUUCAUAUAAUAUUUGAAACCUCAGGGGAGUUUGUGAAACAUCUGAAAACUUAAUGGCGUGUCAGUAUAAAUAACUCUAAAAAUUACUUAUUUAUUUUAUAAGAAAAAAAACUAUUUUUAUUUUACUUUCACUUUUCUUAGGGCUAGUUGUAGGUUGGCAAGAGUAUUUCUAUAUCGUAUAGGCCGGCGUCGUUUCAGCCCAGAGAGGAAGGAGGGGCAGAGCACUUGGGCCUUGCAAGUUGCAAGAAUAAUAAAAGGGGGGUCCUUUCGCUGCUCCGGUAAGUCUCCGAAAAAUCUACGAAACAUCUCCUUGCUAUCUCUUCUCCUUCUUCAUUUCCGUUCUUCUCUUUGAUUCGUGUCUUCAACGCUGUUUUGGGUUCGUCUCGAGCGGAACUGUGCCUGACGACGUCGUUUCUGUGUAAACCCUAGAAUUUCGUUUUCGUGUCUAGCUGGUGGCAAGGAAUUCUUUUUGUCGUGAAUUGCUGAAUAAAGUUGCGAAGUAUGUGCUACUAUACAAUACUAAUAGGUAAAGAGUAAGGGAUGAAUUGAUUAAUGAAAUGGAGGUACAGUACAGUGCUAUGAAAUUGGUGGGUUAUGAGUGAUGAAGGCCAUGGAGUGCACUAUCUAGUUGAUUAUCAAAUUUUAGUUUAGGAAAGGGGUUUUAUUUUUAUUUUUAAUUAUUUUUGAAUAAUUAUGUAUAUUUUUAUGUCACUGUGUUUGCAUGUAAAUAUUUAGCAAGAGAGGACGGAAUUGAGUACCAUGAUUUAUGUAACGGUUUGAAAAUGGUUGGGACAGAGCUUAUAUAGUGUAAAUAAUUGUUUAUUCUGUUGGUUGUAGUAGGUUUCUUGAUUAGGUGAAAUAAAGUAAAAAACUUAGUGAUUAUACAUACAUUUUUGGCAUUUAUUUUAUAUUUUUAACAUAAUAAUACACUUUUUGCGGCAGGGGAUGUUAAAAAUUGAGUAACUAGCAAGAUGAGUAACAACGAAGCUUUUGACGGACAGAUAUUAGCUGACAAGCUCACAAAACUCAACAGUUCACAGCAAAGCAUUGAAUGUAUCCUUCAUAAGAAAUCCCCUAUUUACUGCAUGCUUUAUCUGAUUUAUGGUGUGUGAUUAUCAAGUUUACGAGGUCUAAUACAUGUCAACAAUUGAGGGGUUGUAUUUGUUUCUCUGUGAUUGUAUUACAUACCUGAUCGUUAACGUACUUAUAAAAAUUUCUGGUAAAAGGUGACUUACUGAAACAUGUAUAUUUUUUAUUACUAGCAUCUUGCUGACUCUAAUUGAAUAUCAAUUUUACACUUUUCCCUAAUUUUAGAUUUAUGUAGAAAAUUGUAAUGUUGAAGUUUCUACCUUUCCUUUAUGAUGUUGUUUUUGGCUGUGGUAACAUUGUAUUUGUUGGUGACGCUUCAACUGUAUUUAUGCUUUCUCUGUUUUCUAUUAUGUUCAUAUUUGUUCCUGUAUAAUUUUAUUAUAAUGUAAAUAACUUCUGUGAUUGAUUUUUUUGGGAUAAAAACUUGUCUUGGUGUUAUAUAAUGUAGCAUUUUAUUAAGUUUGAUUGACUGCACUGUGAUAUGUGAUCUUUGGUGGAUAUCUUGUCCACUUUGUUUGCAUUUCCUUGAGUAGCUAUAAAAUUUGUUUCUUAUGAAGGAUAGUAUGUGUGCAUGUGUACGCCCCUCACCCUUCCCUUCCCUUAACAAAAGUCAUGUUUCUGGUUUUGACAACAUAAUAUCCGUUAUGAAUUUAAGAUUGAUGCAUUGGCGAUGUGAAUAUCUGCUAAUCGGUCAUUUUUAAGAUCUCAAUUUGUCAUAAUGAGCUUUUUAUUUUUUAUUUUUGGGUUCUUAUCCGUCAUGCAGUUAUUUAUUAAAAAAUUUCUUUUCCAUCAUGACUUCACUAAGCUAAAAUCUUGAUCCACUCCUAAUGGCUCCUUUCUUUCUUUAUCCAGAGUUGCAAACCUAUAGUGCUUUUCAUACUGGAUGUUCUAGAAAAUGUUCUAGAAAACCUUUAGUGUUCUUUCUUUGUUAAUACUUUUGGUAAACAUAUUCAACAAUAUAUUGAUUUCUUGAUAUACUGAUAAUACCUAUAGCUGUUAAUAUUUCAUCAUAAUUUGUAGAUGUAUGUAUUUGUAACUGAUCACUUAGCUCCAACAUUAAUGUUUAUAUUAUUGCUUUUCUUUAAACAUUCAAACAGCUCUGUCUCGUUGGUGUAUUUCUCACCGAAAGAAAGCAAAACAGAUUGUUGAAACAUGGGAUAAAUGUUUCAAUUCUUCCCAAAAAGACCAGCGUGUGUCUUUUCUAUAUUUGGCUAAUGACAUAUUGCAAAACAGUAGGCGAAAGGGCAGUGAAUUUGUGAAUGAAUUCUGGAAGUUCCUUCCUGCAGCUCUGAAGCAUGUUUAUGAAAAUGGUGAUGGACAUGGAAAGAAAGUUGCCACAAGACUGGUGAGCAUCUAUGAAUGUUCUCUUAAUUCAUUGUUAACACAACAGUAGUAGUAAAUAACCUGUGAGAUUAAGUUAUCAUGUUAGCUGACCUGAAACUUCAGUAUUAAGUCUUCAGUACUGGGCCUGAACAACUGAAAGAUUCUGUAUUCUUUGCCUUUUGAUUGUAGCGGGGUCUGAUACUAAGUCCUUUUUUGUUGCCCCAGCUGAUUUCACUUGCUAUGUUGCUGAGUUAGCACCUUCUAUCCAUGAAUAAAAUUCUUAGUUUGCUCCCACUGUCCUGGAAGACUAGCACCUUUUAUUCCAUGUAGUGGAAUAGAGUGAACCAGUUUAGUGUCUGCUCUUCGUUAUGAUUCCUUUUAAUAAUGUGUGCCUAGCAAUCUGGUCUCAUUACGUAAUCCAUAACGAACUUUUUUCUUUUGGAUAUUGUAUUUAUUUGUUUGCAUUUCUUUGUUCAGGUUGACAUUUGGGAAGAAAGGAAGGUUUUUGGGUCUCGAGGGCAGAGUCUUAAAGAUGAAAUGAUGGGAAAGAAUCCUCCUGCUCUACCUGUAAGCAAUGGAAAGAGUUCAAAUCCUAUCAAGAUAGUGAAGAGGGAUGCACACUCAGUUAGAAUUGUAAGCCCCUGGGGUAGUAGAUAUAGCUGGUUUAUUCUCAAUUUUCAUAAUUGUAUUCCUAAUUAUUGAGCUUGAACUUGCGUUAUUAUUCUUCUAAACCUCAGAAACUGGCUGUUGGAGGUCUGCCAGAAAAAAUACUUACCGCAUUUCAACCUGUUCUUGAAGAACAUCUUAGUGAAGAAUCUGCUUUGAACAAGUGUAGUGCCGCUGUACAUCAUGUGGGUAAAAUUGAUGAAGAUGUUGAAAAUACCUUGACUCAUGGUAAGACCUAGAACCUUUGGUUACAUUAAUUAAUGUUAUUUACAUGUAACUUUGGAGAGAAUGAUUGUCAUGGAACUAGUUGACAAAAUGUAAGACUCUUAUUAUGGUUUGAAAAUUGAAGUCUUGUUUUUUCUGACUUCAAUUAUUGAGUUUUCAUAAAGCUAUAAAAGUCAUUUGAUUACCUGAAGUAUAUUUUAUUGCGUUCUAAUGGGUGGUACUCUUGUACUGUGGAAGGAGGCACCUUCCAAUGCCCUUGGAUUUGUGUCUGUCAGGGAUUAUUCUCUUCUCUGUUGAAACUUCUCGUUGGGAAUGGGGCAAGAAUUCUUACUCUGGAAGAUACUAGGGUAUAUAUGUUCCUUAAUGAUUAUACAUUUUCUUUGAAUCAUAAUCUGGUUCUAUCCUCCUUGGAUUCAUACUUUCCUUCUUGAGCCUUGUCUUGGAACUUAAUCUUUCUGAGGAACCCAAAUGAUAGGGAGUUAAUGGGUGUCUCAAGUUUGUUAUCUCGUGCCAAUAAUAUCACUUUUAGUUCAGAAGAAUUUUUUAAGAUAGGAAGGAGUUGACUUUUAGUUGGAAUGAAUUAGAUUUCUUGGUUACUUGUGUGCGUCUUUUUUGAAGCUUUUUAAGGAUGUUGCAGUUAAGAGAAAUUCAUUCUGAUUGGUUUGAGGCUUGUAUUGAGUGUGGUUUUGCUUGUAUUGCAUCUAUAGUUGGCGCGGUCUAGGUGGACUGCUUGUCCAUCUGAUGCAUUUUCUGAUCACUUGUUUCGGCACUGCCGUAUUUCUUUAUCUUUGUGGUUAAGAUUGUUUAAGGAAACUUCACUGAGUUGGGUAGCUCUAGCAUCAUAUUAUACUCCUUUUGUGAAAGGCAUAAGUUCUUUUUGGUGGUGGAAAGAGAGGUGAAGUAUUAGGGAGAUGCCGAGUGUUGGUUGUGUUUUGGGCCUUUCCUUUGGAAAGAAAUAGGAGGAUCUUUCACAGCUUCAGGGGUCAGGAGUUUGUUUUGUUGUGGAUGUAUAUGCUUUUGGGCAUUCUUAUGACCUUCCGUCUCUUCACAAUAUUGGGAAAUUCAGUUCGUUUGCAGUAUUUUCAGAUUGGAAGGAGGAUAUUGUUUGGGAAUCAUACUGUAUAUAUUAAUUUCUUGUCUUUUGAUAUGUUUUCUUUUAAAAUUAUAUUAAGGAAGGUUAAUUUCUUAUAAAAAAAAAAGGUAUCUGAGAGACUUUAGAUUACAGAUGAAUAAUUUCUAUGGUUAUAACUUAUAUUAUAUAUAUUUUUUCAGGUUAAGGUCAGGUCAUGAUGUGAAUUCAUAUUCUGCAUUUUUCUUUGGCUGUGUACAUUUUUCUAAUUAUUGGCAAUUAGAUUUUUUCUUCCCAUUUUUUUUUUUAUAAGAGGAUCUAAAUAAGUGCCCUUACAAACCAUUAUCAUGAAAACAGGAAGACUUGAUCACAAAUUUAAUUACCGGAAGAAUGCAACUUUUCUUGUAUGCAUAAUCGUAAAGAGCUCUAAUGAAUCUCUCAAGUACCACCGAGUGAUUUAAAAACUCUCAGAUUGGCAUGAAAAGCUUUCUAUCUCUUUUUAUCACAUUAUUUCAUUCUUUAUUUCCUGAGACUAAUCCUAUCAGUUAGGGUUUAUAUGUACUAUUGGCUCACUGUUGAGAACGUUGUCCAAAUUAUUUGUUGUGUGAAUUAUUAUUUGUUCCACGAAUUGUAAUGCCAGGAGGCUCUGUCUAUUCUGCUACUCAGAUGCAAAUUAUGCAAUUUUAAUAUACUGAUAGGGGAAAAUUGAAUUGUUCCAUGACAUGUUAUUACUAUUAAGGUUGGCCUGAUUGUAGUCAUCUACCUACUGUCUAGAGCUCAAUUCUAGGAGUCAGAAUUGUUAGUUUCAAAUUGAGAAACAAUUCCUAAAACAAGUAUAGUGAGUAUCCAUUUCUAGGUAUUAGUAUGUAAGAGUAACCUUGUAAUUAGUUUGGAAUAUACUUCUCCUAGGCCCUGGAAUCUACACCUAUGCUUGUGUAUGCUUUUUUGCACUUAAAUUUUGUGAUUUAAGUGAGUGAGUGACUUUAGAACAGUUUUUUGUUAUGAUAUUAUGAUUGUGAUAUCUAAAAGUUGGUUAUUUGAUAAAUGAAGCCAUUUCAAUUUCAAAUUCAAAUCUCUAUUUUCAAAUAUUUGUUCAAUGGUCAUGGGUAGCAACUUGUAACUUGCAUUGCGAGUUGUGGAUCAUGAGUUAUAUAUCAUAAGUCAUAGCUCGCAAGCCAUGGCCCACGUGUAAUGAUCUGUAGACUGUAGGUCAUGGGCCAUGAAUCACAAAUCAUGGUUGUGGGUCAUGUGUUUUAGUUUCUAAGUUAAUUAAAUUUAUUUGAAAUCCUAAAGUCAAAAGCAUUACACUUUAAUUAAUAGAAAUAUGGAUUUAUAGAUCAAUGGAUUUGAAAUCCUGAUAUUCCAUCUGAACGGGUCCUUAAGGCCAAUGAAAUCCUCUCUUUCGACUUAUAUGGUGAUAUUUACUCUAUUUUUUUUGUACAUGCAUGUAAUAGUAAUGCAUACUGUUGAACUGUUUGAUGCAGUCAGUAAGCUUCAUAAUCUCUUGUUCUUCAUGCACCUAGAUGAGUUGCUGUUAACUUUUUUUUUUCUCCUUUAUAAUCCUUUUUUGAAAUUUAGUUUUUGAUUCCUACUAAGAAACUCUAGAUGAAAUUUGUUGAAGGUCCUCAUGUAUGUUGUCUUAGUACCAUGAUUUUUAGUGAUUUUCCUUGUUAUAAACUGUGUUAUCAGGAACUCAGCAGGGAUCUACAUUGUUGGAUGAUUUAAAAGAGCAGGAAGAUGUACUUAAUCAAUCUGUUGGUCAGCUUGAAAACGUGGAGGCAACAAGAUCUGCCUUGGUUUCGCAGCUUAAAGAAGCACUUCAGGACCAAGUAAGAUUUUUUAUUACUGUUCCACUUAUGUUCACCCUUCUGUGGUUGUGUUUAAAAUUUCAGAUAUUGAUGGUUGCUUUCUAAUAUAACUUUUACAGGAAUCAGAGCUGGAACUUGUUCGCACUCAGUUGCAAGUAAGAGUGAACUAGUCUUUACUUGCCCUUUUUAAAUUCACAAGUCUUUGCGUCUUGGAAAUGGUGUUCAUUUACAGAGCUCUUGUAAGUGCAUUUACGAGUGUUUUAUCAGUGAAUGUCAUUGAGCUCAGCUAGUUGCUCAACAUCAGUUCCUCAGAAUCUUAUGUAGCUAGCACAACUUGUGGUAUUAUCAACCCUGGGCCUUGAUUCAGUUCAUAGCGGGUUGGUUAUUUAAGACAUGUCUUUUUCUUUCUGUCUUGAACUAAAAACCAAAAAUUAUGGGUGGCUAGAUUAGAUGAUGUUUGUGGUUGGAAUAAGAAUUAAAUUGUUGGUUUUUUCGUAGGAAGAAGUUGACUUUAAAGAAGAGGACACUGGGAAACUGAAUCUUGAGUCAUAUAUGCAUUUAUACGUAGAGAAUAGAGUAUCAUAAAUUUGUAUGAACUUUAGGUCUAAUUAACAUAUGUGUUUAAAUGUGUGCAGGACUAUAUAGAUGUGAAGUCAUAUACAAUUUUUUUAUCAAUGUGGAUCUGAUUAAUCAUCAUUUUUUUUACCAAUAGUUAUAAAUUUAUAGGAGAAAUUCAUUAAUGCUCCUAAACUCCAACCCAUGUCUCAUAUUGGUUCCUAAAUUUCAAAAUGCGACACUUAACCUCCUGAUAUCAUUAGUGUGAUUAGUUGGAUCUUGAUGAAAUUUGUUAGUUUUGUCAUGGAAGUUAUCACAAAUUUUUAGGGGGCAUAAUGGCCGCACCGAGGAAGAUAACAAAAUUAAGAUGGCUUCUCCAUUUUACUACCUGGGUUGUUGACCAUCCUAGCAUUAUAAACUUCCUAAUCUUUACUACAUCCAUUUCUUUGCUUUCGUGUAAACGUUAUCCAUGAUAAAAUAUACCCCACCACCUUUGCUUUGAGUUUGUAGUGGGGAGGGGGAACAAAGUGUGAUUUGGAAGAUUGUUGCCUGGUGAAUUUCCUUUGUGUUCAAGAUUUCCUCGUCUAUUCAGACUGACUGCUGCUCCAAGUUAUAGGGUGGCUGAGCUCACAGAGGGUUGGGGUGGCCAAGUGGAUUGGAAUUUUCGAUUCUGAAGAAAUUUAUGAGGGGGAGAUUGAGGAGCUUGCAGCAUUCUUUUCAGUUAUGGAAAAUGUUCAGCUGUCAGCACAUAGGCCAGGUAGGAGGACGUGGAAACUGGAUUCAUCAGGGGUCUUCUCUUGUAAGACGUUUUUAAAUUUUCUGGCUGAUUAGAAAUCGCUUCCUGUAAUCCAACCUGCUAAACCAAUUUUGGAUAUGCGAUAUGGUACAAAGAAGAAGGUUCGCUGUUUAUCUUUCUCCCUAUUGGUGCAUUUUGUGCCAGAAAGAGGCAGAAUCUGAAACUCAUUUCUUUUUACGUUAUCCAUAUGCAUUGAGGCUGUGGUGGCGUUUAGUCAGGGAUGCAGGGGUUAAUUGGGUAAUUCUUGAGUCCCCUUCAAACAUGCUUUGGGAAAUGUAGGUAUUUUGGUGGUGGAAGGCUAGAAUUGUGUGGAAUUUCAUUGUGUUAGCUGUCUUUUGGGUAAUCUGGUUGUUGAGAAACAGAAGAAUAUUCGAGAACUAUAGUGGGUAUGUGGAAGAAAAUUGUUGGGAAAGUCAGGUUUUUGGGCCUCUUAAGGCUUCUCUUUUUGCAUCUUUUAGGGAUCCUUCAUUUUAUGUCAUUUUAUUAGAUUGGCAAGCUGCUGUAGGCCUUAGAUUGGCUAGCUGUUUAUUUGUUUUUGCUUGGUAGUCUUUAAAGCCUUUUAGUAGUAGACAAAGUUGGGUAAUCUUUUGAUUUGGAUUAUGGAUUUUCUUUAACUACUAGAAUUUUAGAAGAAUGGGUGAGGAAUAAGCAUAUAAAUUAAAUUAAAUCUUCAUUUGGAAUUUGCUAUUUCAAGUUUUAGGGAUUUUAGUUGAUGUUUUAGUUUUUUUUUAGUUUUUUAUUUAUCAAUGUGGGAGGGGGAUUCGAACGUGGGACCUCUUCCAACAUUGGGAAGAGAAGUACCUCUAGACCAUGAGCUAGUUGAUCAAUGGGGGAUUUUAGUAAAUGUUUUGAUGCAAGCGAAUAAACACGAAAUUUCAAGAAUGGUCCCAUAUUUGAAAGUUCUCUUUGUUUUGGAAAGGAAGAAUUCAGUUUCAAGCUUCUUGUGGAAUCUUCGAUGAUGACGAUUUAGGCUCAAGGACAAGUCUUUUCCAACCUGGGGAGUUUGAUGCAGGGGCAUCUACAAGGCUGCUAGAGAAUUAGGAUUAGGAUUUAUUAAAAUUCCCAAAUUAGCUAGAAUCGUAGCCUAAUAGGAUUAGGACUUUUUAAGUAGUCUUAGUAGGAAUACAAUUUAUUAGGUAUAGUAGGAUUAGGUUUUCUUAAUAAGCAAGAAAUAAGAAUGCUAGGCUGCUGUACUCUUAGUAUAAAUAGGCUCUCUUAAGAUACUCUUGUAUUCAGUUUUUAACGAAUAUAAUUCCAGAAAUCAGUCCCAUAACACACCAAUUGGGAGAAAUGAAUGGAAUUAUAUAAGAAUGGGAUAAGCUAAACUUGAGAUGCAAGCUCGCAUCUUAGAUGAUCUUUAAUCUCGCAUCUUCUUAAGUUUACAUUUGGACCUGUCCAUGGACAAUGCUUUCCUCACUACAAUAUAAGAUUUCCUUUUUUCUUUUUGGCCUUUCUAGACAAUCCUGACCAAGUAGACAAGAAAAGAAUGUGAAGGUUCUGAAGGUUUAUGUUGAUGAUGUAGAUUGUAAACAACCUAGUUUGCAGGGAUGAUUGAGCUAAUUUAGGUAAGUCGGUUGAUUGAUUUGGAUGAUUUCUAGCAAUUUUUCAUUGACUCUUUUAUCCCUAUUUGUAUGGAGGCUAUAUACGACCAUCUAUAUUCCUCAGUUGAAUCAAUGAAAAAUAAGAUCUUGUUCCCGUUUCAUAGUUCACCUUUCAGCAUGGAAUCCGAUAAAUAUAAUCCUUAGAGCUAAAGAAGCAUCUACCUGUACCUACUUUCUCACAAAAUAAGAAAAGGGGAAAAAGAAAUAUGGAUAAGGUCUCUCUUACUUCUCUGUCAUGGGUUCCAUUAAAUCUUCUGGCUCGGAUAUUGUCUCAAUCUGGUCUCAUUUGGAUAUAGUAUUCGAUCUCACAAUCUUGCUUGGACCUCAUCUGACUUUGAUCUCAUUUCAUUUCUGCUCUUGCCUGGACCUCAUAUUGGUUCUUGUCUUGCUCAGAUCUAGUCUUGGUUCUUGCCUAGCUUUACUUAGGGACCUGCGGUGGCUAAAGUGGCAGAAAGGACAGCCUCUUCUUCGUUUCUUUGGCUAGCUAUAAACAAUACAAAACUGAAGAAUCUUAACCUCAUUUGGCCCAAGCUGUCAAAGUUUUUGUGGAAGAUGGUAGACUUGUUAGUGAUUUUAUUUGCAGUAAGCUGGGGGUAGUUGAUAUCCUCUCUCCAGCUUGAGGGGAUCAGUAAUGUUGGCUGUAAACAGCCUUAUGUGUAGGGAUGGUUUAGCUAAUUUAAUUGCUUUGAUUGAGCUCAUUUGGAUGAUUUCUGGGGUUGAUUUCUAAGAAAUUUUCUUCUUCGAACUUUUAAUUUAUGGAAGCCGUAGGCUGUGCGUAUUACUAAGUUGAAUCAAUCAGAAAUAUGAUCCUCUUCGUCUUUCUUACUUUUCCUUUUAGCAGUUUAAAAUAUUAUUAAAUUAAAGUGGACGAUUCAUGCUAAAGUCCUCACGGAUGAUACUAGAAUGACAGAAAUGUUUGCUGGAGCCCUAUCAAUGUUCCAAUAUUCCUUUUUCUCCAGUCGCAACAAGUAGUGCCAUUGCCUGUCUUCCAAAUUCUCCAUGAAAUAGUGACACUGAAUUAGGUAGCUCCCGUUUUAACUCCAAAUAGCAAGUAGAAAGUUCCAAAGUUCCUACGAGACGGACGAGGCAACAAUAAUAAGUUGAUUACUCUCAUGCCCCAACAUCAGUUCACAGUAAUAUGUCCUCUCCUGGUUAAAUUUUCUAGUUUUUAAGUUAUAACUGUCAGCUAUACCUUUUAUAGGGACCUUUCGUUUUUGUUUUUACACUGACGUAGUCAUUUCUUUUUUUCAAGCUAUAAAUCUACUGUAGGUUUGAAUAUCUGUUAAGAGCCAUAACAAUUUCCAUGAGAGACGACGUCUGUCUAUGUAUGAUAUAAGUUCAGGACAGAGCAUACCAAAUAAUAUCUUAUAAUGCAAUUCCCUUGGCAUUUCCCAUCACAUCAAACAUGCGAACAUGCAAGUAUAUAUGUGUACCUCUAACAACUUAAGUUUUAGGAACAGUAAUAAGUCAAUAAAUUUCAUCAAGGUAUCAAAGCAAGAUAUCCAAGUUUGAAUUAUUAGUGUAACUCAUUGGAAUUGACAAAGGUAGGCAACCCUCCACCAAUUGCAUAUUUGCUGCUUUGCACUUUAGGAGCCAGGCUAGAUGGCAUGUAUAUCAUCCUCAUUCUACAUACAGUAAAUGCCAUAUUCUUUUGUUUGUAGUUGAGCUUAUGCUACUUUUUCAAAUUUUGCAUUGUGAAAACUAUAAUAAUAUACUGGCUACUUGGAUUAACAGGAAUUAUUUAUUGUCAUGCAGGUUGCUCGACAUCAGAUUGAGAAACUGGGUAAUAUUAAAAGGAGACUGACUUUGUCCCCGGUUGUUAACCCCCAAAGCAAUGUCACUAACAUGACAACUGAAUCUACAAGGGUGUUAGAACCAAAUUUAUCAUUAGUGCAGCCAACUGGCAUCCCACCUCAGCCUCCAACCCAACCUGUGAUUUCUUUUGCCUCUGUCAAAACUACUGAUGAAGAGAACAAAAAGGCAGCAGCUGCUGCUGUUGCUGCUAAGCUAGCUGCAUCUACAUCUUCUGCCCAGAUGUUGACCUCUGUUCUUUCAUCCCUUGUUGCUGAAGAAGCUGCCUCAAUGACUGGUAGCCUAACGUCAGCUGCAUUUACUUCAGGGUUAUCCAUGUUUCCUCCAGAAAAACGGCCCAAGCUUGAGAAGCAAAUGUCUGCAUCUGAACUUAACAAUCUUGAUGUUGGCAAUACAGCCUAUUUUACUCCUCUACAACAGCAGACAAUGACCAAUGUUCCACAUGCACCACCGGCAACCAUGCAGCCUUUGUCCCAAACUAACCAGAUGCAAAAUACUUUUGGUCCACCGCCCCCGCCACCUCCAGCACCAUCAGCAUCUCCUGCAACUCCACCAGCGAAUCAAUAUGCCCAAUCUGCUGGUCUCAUGGUGGGUGUAAUGCCUUACGGAUAUGGAUCAAAUACUCUGCCACCUCCACCCCCCAUACCUCCACAUAUUUCAAUGGGUUUGUCGAGGCCAGGUCAGCCGCAACAGCAGCAGCAGCAGCAACAGCAGCAACAUCAGCCUCAGCCUCAGCAGCAGCAGCAACAGCAGCUGCAGCCAGCUACUGGAGGUUAUUAUCGACCGCUGGGUAUGGGAUUCUAUGGGCAAAGUAAUCAGUCAAAUACACAGCCAGUACCUCGACAGUGAGUUCCUACUUAUUUUACCAAGCCAGAAUUUCCUAUACUGGAUUGUGAACAAAAUCAGCCAAGGUGCCCAUAACUUUUGGUGACAAAUUCAUCUUGGAAAUCAAUGGAGCCAGUGGAAUUUCUCAGAGGCAUUGUGUUAUUAUGUAAAUUAGUAGAGAAUAGUGUCUUCUAAACAUCUAGGUCCACCUCCCCAUGCCAGUUUAAGCAGUCAGUCUCCUUUAAUGUAUGUCUAGUAGAAAGGAAGUUUCUCGGUAGCUAUAUUUUAAUUUGACGUGAAGUGCCUAACUUGAAUGUACCUGUGCAAACUUGAUUGGCGCUGUAAACAGAGUUUGGGGCAUCACUAAAUGUGUACUUUAAUGUUGGAUAUGGCAUGCCUAGCUAGUCUCUACUCUCUUUGGCCAUUUGGAGAUCAUUUUGUUGAAUCGAGUGGGACAAUGUGGCUGUGGCUUUGUUGGUCAGAAUGUGGAUUAUAAUACUAGUUAAGCAAUAUAAUUAACCAUAUGCGUAAAAUUUUCAACGGAUUUUUAGCUUCAGAAGUCUUCAUAAGAGCAAGCCCGUAAAGCUUUGCUUGGAAUAAUGUCUCGACUUGACUCGUGCAUUUUAUUUUGUGAUAGUGAUAUUUUUUAUCUCCCAAAUACACAUAAAUAAAUAUCUCAAUGUUUGUCUUUUUUAAUACAAGCGAUAGUUGAGACUAUUGGUCUAUCAAUACGUAUUGGGGUUCGAAUUUGAGACCAUUGGUCUAUUAAUGUCUUUUUCCACUAAGAUACACCUCGUUCACUCUCCACACCUACUAUUGGAAUGCUUGGUAACGACUUGAGUGAUGUGUUACUAACGUCAUGUGGGUGGGUGGUCGGAGGACAUGAGCUAGCGCAGAUGACAAAAGCAGCGAUUUGUUUGUCUCAUGGGUGCGUGGGAUGCGUUUUGACGAAAUUAGCCAGUGCAGUGGUCUGUGAAGGUUAAAUCACACUUGUGUUAAGCAAGCAGAGUAGUCAAGCCAGAGGCAAAAAAUACGCAAGAAGCGGUUUUCGUUGGAUCGACGGAAUCACGUCAUAAUUUUUAAUAUUAACUUUAAUUGAACAACACGAAUCAAAUUAUUAUGUUGAUUAAGAAAUUUAAGACGAAAUUGAUUGAUUUGAGAGUUAAAUGCCGAAAAUGAUGCCUUAUAUAAAUAUCUUGGUUAGCAAGUCGUAGCUGUUAGGUGAGUAAGCGUUGCCCUCUUUUAAUUUCUAAAUUAUUAUUUUUCGGUGACAUCUAAAUUCUAAAUCCUUAACCCAAAAAAAAAAAAAACAAAGUGCGGGGCACGUUAUUGACACGUCACCUCGGCGGUGUUCGCAUUGAAUUGGGGUCAAACUCAGGAUUGAGAAAGUCACGUUGAGCAAUAGCGACACUGAUCUGACGAAACAAAUAAAAGGAAAACGCAGACAGAUGGAGAAACCAUAGAUUUAUACUGUUCACCUUAUUUGUUUGCUUAAUACCAUUUAGAGAAACGGAAAAGUUGAGAGCUUAUCGAUUGUUUAGCAAAGAAUCAACAACAGAAAGCUCUUUCCGUUUGGGAUCCCUUGCCAAACCUAAAGGUAACGUAAAGUAAGCCAACAAGCCUCUGUCUUCUCCUUCUUCUGCUUCGUUUUUCUUUUUGGUAUUUCAUCGUUUAUUUUUCCAUUGUCUCUGAAUUGGCAUAUGACACAAACCCCUGUUGUAUUUCGAACUAAAUCCCAGUUAUUUCAGUCUUAGGGUUUAUGGGUUUGAAAUAUUUGGAUGUAUCACAGUAACUUGGACAUUUUGUGCAUUAGUUAAGUAGUGCGAAUUUUAGUUGUUUUAAGUAUGUACUAAUACUAAGUUAAGUGGUAUAUGAAUAUGGGUUAUACGUUUAUGGGUAUGAUUUGGCUUUGAAUUUGGUGGCAAGCUGUUGCUUUAAUGGAAAUGUGGAGAGAUUCUGUCAUUGGGUUGUUUGCAAGAAUACUUGAGGAUACUGCAUUUGGCUCAUAACAAUGCUCUUGAUGAAAUUAUUUCUUUGAAAAUUCAGGCUGAUAUGGGAAGCGUCAUGGCUUCAAGAACUUUGCGGAAAAGGCUUCAUCAUGGGGAUGUUGAUGGGAAAAAGAAUGAGCAUUUAGAGACAUCAGGGUCAGAUGAUCUUAAUGAGCCUCUACUGGGGAAUUAUUAUUCAGAUACGCAUGCUGAGGUGGGGAUUUUAAUUGUUCAUUUACAUGGAGAGUGGGGAUUUAUUCUGUUACCAACUUUCUUUGGCCCUUUGUGGUUGAUAUCUUUCUUGGAUUUACCACAGGGAUCCUCACUUGAAGAGACGUGCGAUGAUGAACGGAGAAAGGAACACCUCCAUUGGACCCUUCUGUUUUCUCAGUUGAUUGCACAGUGGGCACGGUGGUUAGGUAAUCAUAAUUUUGGUGUCAAAAAAACUUUUACUGUUUUACUUGAAAGGUUCUUUCAACUUUGUUAAUAAGACGCCAGGCAUUAUAUAGCUAGAAUUUUAAAACAUGAUCUAACUAAAUAAACUGAAACUGUUAAGUUUAUUUCAUUUUUGACCUGAUUAUGGAGUCAUUCUCAGAAAGGUACCCACUUGAUAACUAAACCAUUUGAUUAAGUGAAUAUUAUCCCUGAUCAGUUGUUCCAGUGCUUCAUCGAACUUCAAAUGUUAAGUUACUGAAUUGUCUCUAGAGAGUGGCAAUUUUCAUUGGACGAGGUAAAGAACCAUGAGGAGUAUUCAACAUUCUAUUGGAGAGUUCAAUUUAGUUAAAAAUAAUAUGAAACAGCCUAUGGUAGCAGAUAUUUAGCUUGUUUGUACGUACUUUUAGAAAGGUUAAAUGAAACACUUCUAGAUGACCAAGAGUGCUUUUGGUAACAUUUGGAAGUAAUAGGUAAAGUUCUUUCUAGGUUUUAAAAGAACUUCUGAGUGAUUGCCCAUUAAGCAAUUGAAUUUUUAAUAAAUUUUUUGUUGUGCUUCUAAGGCCCCGUUUGGGAUUGCUUUUUUUCGUUAAAAACCAACUUCACUUUAAAGUUGAGCAACUUAAGGUGUUUGGAAAAAUAAAAUAUCCUAAUUAUUUUAAAAACAAUGGCCUUUUGAUAGCAGCUUUUAAAAGCAUGCUCCUUUUAAUUAAUUUUUUUAAUUCCCAAAAUACUAUCAUUAAUUUUUUAAAAUGACACCACCUCCACCACCACCGCCACCACUACUACCACAACCACCACCUCCACCUUCAUCACCACCACCACCUUCACCACCAUCUCUUUCACCACCACCACCACCACCACUAUCACCACUUGGUUAGUGCAUAACACUUUGAACAUCAUGUUUAUUUUAGUCAUUAUUCACAAUUACAACAGUUUAAUAUUAAAAUUUACCAAACAAUUUUGACAUUGCUUUUUGUACUAACAACACUUUAAAAUUAUUGUUUACCAAACAUGGAGAUGCUUUACUUUACAGAUAAUUAUUUUCAAAGCACAGCAAAAACAACUUUUUUAAAAAGUGACAGCAAUCCCAAAUUGGCCCUAACAAAAGUGCUUUCAACAAAAGCGCUUAUGACCAUAAGUACUCCCAAAUAGGCUCUUGCUCUUUUGCAUUUAUCUGAUCACUGUUCAUUCUUUGUAAUUUAUUUAUUUUCUUUAAACAUUCAAAAUGUAUUGUUAUUUUUGUAAUUAUAUAUUUCCAUAUUUUUCUUUGUAGCAAAUAUUGUUCUUGGAUCGGGAUCGCUUAUUGGGCGGCUUUUGACCUUCCCUUCAACUACACAAAAUGGACAAAGAACUAAGUUGCGUGCACCACCCCUUAGUCCUCUGCAAGUAUGUCCAAUAAAUGAUCUGAUCUUUAUCUCCAAGGAGUAUAUAUUUUCCUUAGAUCCUAAAUGCAUGAAAAGUUUAAGAUGAAGCCUCACAUUUCAAUUAUUUAAUACUAUCUUAUGAAAUGUGUUUGUCUUUAUGAUGUGUUUUUGCUGUUGGUGGAUUAAUUAUGAAUUUGUUCCAUUUUUUUAAUCAACCUGUCUAUAAUAUAGCAUUUAAAUGUGAGAGAGUACGCUAAUUCUUGAUAUUAUGAACAUUAAUCUUUUUUAUAUUUAUUUCAAUGGAAGUUUGUGUAAUGGAAUAUUUGGUCUUUCAGGCACUUAAACACAACUGCUUACUCUUAGGCGUCAUUUGAAGUGGAUAUUCGUACUUCAUCUUUUCUUUAUCUUUUUUUUUUUUUGGCAUACAUUGUGCUUUUAUCGUUUGAAGUGUUCAAUUUUCAAAAAAAUUGUGUAAUUUGUAUCACUAAUAUAAUUUUAGUUCUAUAUCCUAUAUCUUAAAUUUUCAGGAAUGGUAAUAAACCAAGAAAAUGUAACAUGGUAUCAAGAAGGGGAGAUUUUGAGUUCGAAUCCCUGCAAUUGCUCUCUUAAUUUAUUUCGUAGUUUAUUUGUUGGGCUCGUUUAAUUGUUAUCUCAUAUACUAACCGCUUAAGCUUUCUGCAGCAAUAUAUAUUGCAUAAUGUAGAUUUGUAUAUAUUGAAUACGUGGUUCACUUGCUGCUGGUACUUAUGUCCUGUAGGAAGCAAGACUCAGAAAGCUGCGACAAAGGCUUGAAGUACCCUUUGAUGGCUCUCGUGUGGAGCAUCAAGUAGGUCUUUUAUCCAUUUGACGUCAUUUUGGUCAUUUCUCUAUUGGUUUUACUAGUACUACUAUAUCAAACAUAAAGAUGUGGAUAAUGAUAAUAAUAAAAAUAAUAAUAAGAUCUGGAUAAUGAUAAUAAUAACAAUAAUAAUUGCUUUUGUUUUUUUUAGUAUUAUCAUUUUUUUUUUAUUGCAGUCAAUGUUUGUAUGUUAUUUCAUUGUUUAUGAUUAUUUGGUUGGAGCGUUAAUGCUCAAAAGUGCCUAAAAAUAUCCUCAUUGUUGAGAAAAAUUAACUGUUUACAGUUACAACAGAGUGAGCAAUGUAAGUUGAAGAGUAAUAAGGAAAAAGACAAAAUUUAUAUAUAUUGUAAUAAAGCAAAGUACUGGUUUAUUGUACUGUUGUGGGUGUGGGCGGACUAGUAUAUUUUAUUGUCCCAGUAAUUUUUAACAAUAGAAGGGUUGUCUGUAUUUUCAGAAAACCUUGAAGUAAUUUUUUGGUUUUAUCUCCAGUUUACUCAAAAUGAAAACCUCGAAGUAAUUACUUUAGUUUUUAAUUGCAGGAUGCACUUUUACAGUUAUGGAGGUUGGCUUAUCCGGAUAAGGAGCUCCCACCUCUUAAAUCAGAGCUUUGGAAACAGAUGGGAUGGCAAGGUUCAGACCCUUCAACAGACUUUAGGUACGUACAUAAAACAAAAUGAAAGUAUCCUUAAGUGAGUCACAUAUAUUUGGUUUUGUUUUUUCAUAUAUCUUUUCUGAAUAAAUUGAUAUGAUAACGAUAAAUUUCCAACCUUAUUUGUAGAGGCGGGGGAUUUAUAUCAUUGGAGAAUCUUAUAUUCUUCGCACAACAGUAUCCGGUUUGUCUCUUUCUGACUUAAUGUCUUUUUCAAUUAUAAAAAGUUCUAUUUCAUGUUUGCAACAUAGAUCUCACUACUAGAUCAUAAAAACUUGUAUGUCCUUGAUAUGUUUCGCUGUUGCUUCUAGCAGUAUCUUUUUCUGUUUAAUUUAUUAAAGCUCGGACCAUCCAGUUUCUUUGGCCUUUUACUGUUCUGGUCACUUAUGUGAUUUCAUUUGUCCUAGUUUAAAACCGGUCUUUUGACUUACAAUGAACAUAUAUUACUGCAUAAAUGGACUUCCAUGGCAAGACUAGUGUACCGCCUCCUCUUCCUUUGAGUUGGGAUUUCGGGUUUCAUAGUUACGUAAUCAUUUUAUUCUGUGUUUCCACAAAAUUCGUGAAAGGGUUAAUGAGUUUCUGAUUUUAUCCUCUUACAGGAAUCAUUCCAAAGAUUGUUGCACAAACAAGAUGGAACUAGAGCUGAGUGGGAAUAUCCCUUUGCUGUAGCUGGUAUCAAUAUUUCUUUUGUCUUGGCACAAAUGUUGGAUCUUCAAUCAGGUAUAAUAAAAUUUCAAAUUAGUGGAUAUUCCUUCAAUGUAGUACGACAAUGGUUGAUGAGGAAAUGUCAGAUAACUAUUUGAUGACAAAGAACCACAUCUUUGUAUGUUUAUUUGAUGACUCGUAACUUAUUUUCCACUAAUCCGUUUUCUCAAGAGUUUACUUUUUUUUUUUUUUUUUUUCCUUCAUCAUAUUCUGAAUGCUGAUGCUUUGUUUAUAAAGAAUAAUUGGUCAUAUCUUUCUUGCAGCAGAGCCAGCUAGUUUGGCAGGCACCCGUUUUCUCGAACUGCUUCAAGAAGAUGAAAUGGCAUUUGAUAACCUUUAUUGUGUAGCCUUCCAGAUGAUGGAUGCUCAAUGGCUUGCAAAACGUGCUUCCUAUAUGGAGUUCAAUGUAAAUGGUUCUGUCAUAUGCUUUGCUAAAUUAAGAUGCACGCUUAUAUUAUCCUUCCUGCUCAUGUCUUACUGUCUACCCCUUUUUUUCAGGAUGUUCUGAAGUCUACAAGAAGUCAGCUAGAGCGUGAGCUUGCACUUGAAGAUGUCUCAAGUGUAAAAGAUUUGCCAGCAUACAAUAUGUUGAGAAGAUGAUCUCUUAUUCUCUUUUGGUUUUUUUAUUUUUUCAGUUCUCAUUCCUGUAAUUCUUCUUACGUUCUCACCAUCUGUAAUAUCAUAGAAGAAAUUCUAUCUUCAAAAUCCAGUAGUAACAUAUUUAAUUCAUUGAUCCAAGCGCCUUAUCAUCUUUUAUUUUCGUCGCAUCUUUCAUUGGGAUUCCUUGGUCAAUGUCCUUAUAUUCUCACACUAAGAAACGUAGGAUAAGGUUUCUCAGGAACAGUAGGACAAUUAGGGAAUGUUAAGGUGAACGGAGAAGGUGUGGGGCUUUAUUUAUUAUUAGUAUUUUUAUUUUUAUUUUUUAUACAGGCUCUGUGAGAUGGAAAGCUUGUUGAAUCUGUUGCAUCUUUACCAUGAAUUGGAUCCUAAAGCAUGUUCCUUUUUCUCAUCCAAAAGGGAAAAGAGAAACAAACAUUUUCUUGUGUUUUUUCAGAACAAAUAAUAAAAUAUUGUUUGCCCUUUUUUAGAUCAAGAAGAUAGAUUGCAUUUAUAACUCAGGCACAAAGGUUAUCAGCUAUAAGAGCUACUACAAAUACAAAUUUACACAAGGUUAUUACAAAUAUGAAAGUGCACUAACAAAAAGAGGGCAAAAAGUCACUUUUGGUCCCUGUGGUUUAUCACUUUUACCACUAAGGCUCUUGUGGUUUCAAUUUGAACAUUUUCGUCCUUGUGGGUUCAAUUUGAAGCAAUUUAAGGAUAAUCCUCAAUUUCUGUCAAAUUUUUUUAACUUAUGUUACUUGUGGACGGCUAAUUUAGUCAACAAAUUAUUUUUUUAAAAAUCAAUUCUUCUAAAAUUAAAAGGGAAAUAGUUCUAAAUGCCACCCUUUUUAUAAUUUUAACUGAAAAUACCACCUCUCCUCAAAAAUUUUGCAAUUAUCACCUAUAAAUAUAUAUUUAUUGUCCACUUAUUGCGCACAUAUCACUUUUGCUGAAAUUUUGUUCUCUCUCUGUCGCUCAACUCUUUUGUCUCCAUUGCUCAGGUCUCACUCUCUCUUCGGUCAGCACUCACUCUUUCUUCUCUCUUUCAUUAUCGCGGGAAGCUCUUGGCCUCUCUUGCGCAACUCUCUCUUGUGUAGCUCUCUCUCUCUCUCUCUCUCUCUCUCUCUCUCUCUCUGACGCAGUGGUCUUCCUCUUCCAUCAUUCACCUGCAAAAGGUACUAUUCGUCGUCAAUUUGAAUUGGUUUAGGGGUUUCUCUGAAGUUGGUUUAGGGUUUAUGGGUUUCUAUGAAAUUGGUUUAGGGGUUUCUUUGAAAUUGGUUUAGGGUUUAGGAGUAUCUCUGAAAUUGGAUUAGAGGUUUCUCUGAAAUUGGUUUAGGGUUUAGAGGUUUGUCUGAAAUUGGUUUAGGGUUGAGGGGUUCCUUUGAAAUUGUCUGAAACUUAUGAUUCCUUGUUUGAAACAUUGAAUGGGUUUGUUCUUUGUGGAUUGAUUCUUGCGUUUGAUUUGAGAUUCUGUUGUUUUGUUGUUGUUAUUGAUGUUUUAUUGAUGUUUUAGUGUUGUUUUUUGCUAUCGUAUUGCCAAUUUAGUGGUUUUGUAUUGGCAUUUUAGUGCUGUUGUAUUGCUAGUUUAUUAUGGUUUUAUUCUCGUUCCAUUAUGAUUUUAAUUGUUUUGGCGAUUUUUGCAAUUGAAGUAUGUGUUUCCUGUUGUUGUUUUUUUUUUUUCAUCCAAAGAAAGGAAAUUGUAGGUGUCAUUUAUAGUCUCUACAUUACCUGUUUUGUGGCAUCCACUUGGGAAUUCACUUAUCACUUAUCACUUGGGAAUUCACUCUGCUCCUUAAUUAUUUCAGGAAAUUCUUUAUAUGAAUAUGCACACAUGGAAGCUAUGCUGGAGGUGCUUUAUAUGGUGAUCCAUAAUGUUGGUGGCGGUGGCUAAUUGCCUUACAUGGCACAUGAACUGUUUCCAUUUUGUAGACAUGGCAAAUCAAUUGUACUCAAUUUGAAGUAGGAAUAUGCAUCAAUUUUAAUUUUGUCAAACCAAAUUUGGUAGUACGUGUAAUGAAUACCAGUACGGAUGUAUUUGUCAUUCGGUUUUCAAAUUGGGCUUUUGUUUUCGAGUUGCCGUCGUGGUUAGCAUACUUAUUCUGUACAUUGUGAAGUUGAACUAUUUUGUACAGCUCGAUAUAUAAACAUACUUGCUCUUUAUGGAGGUAUAAUAGUUUACUUGUUUGAAACGUUGUGUUUGUUUCUACUGAAUUAUGCUCAUUUUUGUAUCCUUUUUUUACAUUUGGUCCUUGUGGUUUUCUUCAUUUUUCUGUGGUGAAUCCAACCAUGUACAGAACACAAAAUUUGCAUAAUCGGUUAAAAGUUAAAGGUCAAAAAAUGGACAUUUGUCAAAACUGAAAAACAGAGGAAGUGCAUAAUUUGUUUAUGCCUAAAAUGCGAUAAACUGGUGCUACCAUGGUGAUAUAGUGGGGAUACAGUGGCAAUAAAAGGGUGCUAGAAAUUGUUGUUUGUGUUUAUUUUGGGUUACUUGUUUUGUUUCAUUUCAUUCAUUUUUUUUACUCAUUACUAGUUUAUAAUUGAAUGAUUAGGACAUUAAUUUGUGUCAAUUAUUAAUACAACAAUUACAUAUAUGAAGAAUAAGACGAACAACAUAUCAUAUCACCAAACAUAAUCACACCACCAAAUAUAAUCAUGCUUUUCUCCAACCCAUCACCAAGCAUUUGCAUAUUUAUUCAUAACAUCCUUUUUUUGUAAAUAAUUUUUGUAAAAAAAUUAACAUCAUCAUCGUCCUCAAUCUAUAUGUGCUUCCACUCAUUCGAGGCCACCAAAACUGAGAACUUUAAGCAAACAUUGUCUUCCCUACAGUUUGUAUUACCAAUCUAAUGCACACGAUCCAACAGUUCAGUAAAUGUGAUGGUCCGUGGAACUAUUAAGCCUUUUGAGUCACCUGUUUCAUACUUGCACAUCUUCUUUGGGGUUACCCAUUUUCCAUUGUAGCAAACCAGAAUAACAAUUGUCUCCAUUUUUUACCAUGACAAAACAACAUUUCAUUAACACAAUACAACCACAAUAAUCAGGCAAUACAAUGGCAAUAGAAUGACAAUAUAACAGCAACAUAACAACAAUAUGACAACAAAUAACGGAACGCAACAGCAAUACAAUACUAACACAGCAGUGAACAAGGAUUCAUCACAAUCACACUAUACAAAUCUACUACAUCAAAUGGAAAAUCCCAAGUUUCAAGAUUCACAUAUCCAGAGCAAUCUAAAUGCAAUUGGUAAAAACCCAGAUGGAUAAGCAUGAAGAUUCAAAAAACCUAACCUAAAGCAAUUAAAGCCAAAACCAAUUUAACAAGCAAUCAAAAUAAAACCAAUUUCACAGAAUCCCAUAUAUAUUAAGAAAAUAACCAUCAACACUACCUAUUCGAGGUCAGCGAUCCAGUAGAGCUUCAAGGUUACAAGUAGCUAUUGAGAAGACAUACCUAAAAGAUGGGGUCGAGUUCACGAUUCAGAAGAGAGAGCGAGAGAGAGCUGCACAAGAGAGCGAAUAGGGAGAGAGAGAGAGAGAGAGAGAGAGAGAGAGAGAGAGAGAGCAAGCGAACACAGAGAGAGCGAAUAGGGAGUUGAGCGAGUUGAGAGAGAACAAAAUUUCAGCAAAUGUGAUAUGUGUGCAAUAAGUGGACAAUACAUAUAUAUUUAUAGGUGAUAGUUGCAAAAAAAUUGGGGAGGGGUGGUAUUUUCAGUUAAAAUUAUAAAAAAGGUGGCAUUUAGAGUUAUUUCCCAAAAAUAAACAAUACAAAAUGGAAAAAUCAAUUAUUUGAAACCACAGGGACCUUAAAGGUAAAAAUGAUAAACCAAAUGAACUAAAAGUGACUUUUUGUCAUUUUUUUAAGGUUUCUGGGGGCUUUUAUUGUGCUUCUAAUCCUUUGCUUUUUAAUGGGAAAAAGUGGGCGAAUGGGUCUGUUGGGUUUAGCUUGGAUUCGUCAAUUGUGUAAUAAUGCUUUUUUGGUAGAAGUCUAUGCACUGUCUCCCACCCAUCAUCAGCCGUGUCUCUCCUCCCACCUAAACCACCACCACUCCACCCAAAUCAAUACUAUAGCUACCACCAUUUCAAGAAGACUUCCCUCACCACUCAACCCAAAAUAAUGAGUUAGCCUUGUCAAGGAUUCACACGCUUAUUAAUAUAUUGUUUUUAAUUUUUUUUAAAAAUUAUGAACAUUCUUCUAAACUUGAUAUGUUAUUGGACGCACUUAUGUUGUUAAGAAAAAUUCAGUAAUAAAAAUGUUUAUUUUCUAUACAAGCGAUUGGAGGAGGGGAGUUUACACAGAUAUUUAUUAGCUGUCUGGGGGUUGCGAAUCUCUACCCACGUCAGUUGAGGUGGAAGAGCUCAACUAAUUGAGCUAUACCCCACUGGUGGUGGGAAAAAAAAUUAGCUGAAGGGAAAAAUAGUACAUUGUGCAUGUGUCCUGUAUGUAUAAAAUUUUUGUAUACUGCCCCUGAUAACAACACACUUAAAUUCUUUAGUCACAUCAACACAAAUAUAUUGAUAUCACAUCUUUCUUUUGUGGAGUGAGUUAUCUAAUGCGUGUGUAGAAUGAAGGGAAUAUUGUGGGAAUGAUGUUGUGUAGAGAUUUCUAAAAACUCUACAACCAAUCUUUGAGAGUAUAAAUCACCUAGCAAGCCAUAUCUAUAAUAUGAAAUCAAAGUAAGAGCGGAAGUAUUAAAUAAACUAGGGAUUCAUGCAAGUCUCAUUUGGUCCCAAUAUUUAUAAGUCUAUUAAAGUGUGCACCAAAGACUCUCUAAAUCCUAUUUGAGAGAAAGAUAAGAUGUUCAUACCCUUGGAGGAAUCUUGAAACCAAGAAUGGUGUUCAAGUAGAGGGAGUGGUCCCUUUGUUGUUGGCUCUCCCUUUGAUGUUGAUUUUGCACCUUGUAGCUCUUCAAAUAGGUACAAAGAUAUGCACAUCCUCAAAGCUCUCCACCAAGGAUUGAAUGGGAUGAGAGAAUGAGUAGACAACAAGUGAAGAGUGUGUUCACCCGUUUUAUGUUUGUUCCUGUGAUGGUAGGGUAAAGUUCCCUAUUGUCUUGAGAACCAUUGACUGGUCAACAAGUCAACUUUCUUUAGUGUGCGAGCGUGCCACUGCUAGCAAUGAAAAAUCCUAGCAGACUUCUUUAAAAAUAGAUAACUUGCGCCCAAGUUACUAAUUUCUAAACAAGCGAUUGUGAAUUUGGGUGAGGAAUAUCUCCCAAGUAAGUUCUUUUCUUGCCUCAGACUAUGGCGGUUCUGACUAGAAUAAAUGAUAAGAUAACAAACUAUUUUAGGCAGAAGUGCCUUUUACAAAACUCAAAAAGGAAAAAUCAACUCUAGAAAGACAAAAAGAGGGCUGGACUUCCAUUUCUGCCUGGAUAGGUGCUUUUGGUCCGGGCUGGACUGGGUGCGCCUCUGCUGGACUGGACUAUCAACACCUUCAACUGUCAAGUUUCAGCUGUAAAUCGAUACCAACGUUCGAGUUUGGCAGAGCUUCAAUCUAUUUCAAGCCCUGGAAGGCUUUUUGAACAUGCAUAAUUGGGACUUCUUCAGUUUGGAAGGGGCAGAAGUGGCUGGACUUGAUCACUGAGCUGGAACUGCACUGUGGUACCUGUUCUACUUGAUCAGGGCUCUCCAUAAAUUUGUUGAGGUUUUCAUAGUUGUAAAAAUUCGAACUCUGCUUGAUUUAGCUUAUGCUGAACCAAAUUUGUGACGAGAGAAAUCUCGUUUUGAAUGACUUAUUCUUCUAAGUCUGAACUGAAGUUGGAGAUUUUGAUUUGUAGCUGGCUUUUUUCUCGUGGCUCAAUGAGCUUUUGGUUGCUUCAGUUUGUUUGAAGGCUUUUGAGAUCAAGUGAUCAUUUGAGUUUUGUCUUUGAUUGAUUUUUUUGGCUGUCCUUUGAUCUGUUCACCUCCUCUCAUAUUUAUAGGAAAUGCUGGAGUGGGUAUUUUAAUCUUUAAAAUAGGCAGCAGAUUUUCUAAAAAACGAGAUCUUUUCUUUUCAAAGCCAUAAAAGAAGGAAGUUAUUGUUUUGGCAGAUACGAACUAUCAGCAAUAAGCUUUCAUAGAGGUCUUUUCCUUACUUUUCUGAAAGAAAACCAACUUUCUUUGUUCUCUUUUUGUUCCUUGUAAAGAGAAAAACUCAAUCUGCCAUAAUGGUCAGUUUGCUUUCCUAUUUUGAACAACUCCCCUUGCACCCUACUUAUCUCUUAAAAUCGUAGUCUGAUUAUUUCUUGGAAAUGGCCUGCUAUGGAGCAAAAUUUUUCUGAAUAUAGAAAAGGGAUUCUGAUCUUCUUUUGCCUGAAAAGGCUGGAGAUUUUUGCCUGUUUAAGACCUGCCUUCAUUAAAUCCCUAUCAACCCAGUUGAAUUUGUUGACUUUUCAAAGUCAGGUAAUCAUGUGGGUUUGCUUUUAUCUUGGGUUUUCUUUCAUUUUCAUUUGCUCAUGCCAAGCCGAGGUUUGAGUUUUGGAACUGUGGGAUGAUUUUUCUCUGUUUUUCCGAAGCCCAACUUUAUUUUCGUGGAUUGACAGGUCUUGGGCUAGGUUUUCUCGAUUUUGGGCUACUUUCCCAGCUUUCUAGUAAUCAAGCUCGGGUGGUGCUCAAUUUUUGUGGGUUUCAAAAAUGGGCUGGGCUCCCUUCUAAAAAAAUCUUACUUGGGUCUGGGCUUUUUGACUUUGGGCCUUGAUUCCAUUCUUAGUCCAAAUUGCCUGGGUCCUGAUUUUGCCUCGUCCUUCUAGGCCUCUAGCGUUGGGCUGGGUGCGUUAAUUGUUGGCCCAAACAAAGUGGUGCUAGCAGCCUCACUUGAUGUGAUAGAUUGAAGGGGUUAGAUAAAGAGAGUUUGAUGUUUUCUCUCUUUCAAUUUCACCAACUUGAAAACCCUACGAUGAUAGGAUUCCAUAGCUACACACUUUGGUCCAACACAUUAAUCCUAUAAUGCGUCACAUAUGUGCCUAAGUCCAUAUGGUCAAAUCCUUUUUGAAUUUCCCAGUCGUAUGGGACCUUUAAUUAAAGUUUCAUAACUUUAAUUGAAUAAUUAAAUUAAUCCAAUCAAUUUAAUUACUCUAGUGACUUGACUAAUUCAAUCACUCACUUGUCUAACAAGUGUUGGUCCCAGUCAUCCUUAGUUGAUCGUGUCAAGUGUCGGGUCAACCAUUUGACCUUUGACUUUUGACUUGACAUUUGACUUUGACAUUGACUUUGACCAAGUCACAAAAUCAUUCAUUCUCUUCAUAAUUUCCCAAUCGAUUCAUUUUCAGUGUGCAAUCUUAUAGGUUCUAAUUAACGAGGCAGUAGGUAUGAGUGAUUCACUUUGAAUCAAGUGUGAAUUGUAUCCCUCCAUACAAUUCUCCUUAUUGGCGAAGGCUAAUUAUAAUUAGUCCUUACAAGCUUCCACAAGCCAUGAGUGACACCUAGCAGUAUGUCAUGGCUACCCAAGCUAAAAAGAAUUCAUUUAGAAAACCUAGUCAGUUUGUGAUUACAAUGCAAUUCGAUCAUUCUCUAAUUCAAUACUCUAUGUCAUAUUCUCGGAAUAUGGUAAACUUGUGUCAAAAUCCCUAAUAUGACAUCUUUAGAUUAUAUGAUUCAAUUUGAUGAAAUUGCAAACGUUCUUGUUCCAAUUUUCAUCCAAUACUUUGGCCAAAGAUUAACGAAUCAUAUCUUUAGAGUAUUUUCUCUUCUUACUAAGAGCAGAGAUUCUUUGUUGUACAUUCACCUGUCCCUACGUAAAAGCUAAGAAUCCUGAGGAACACAUUUAAGUCACAUCAUUUUAAUACGACCGUAUAGUACUCUCAAAGAGAAACAAUAUAUACACAGGACAACUGUGAUGUCUCAGGUCUAAGGAUUAAUUUGUAUUAUCACAUCUUAGAAUUCUUUGUUUGACACUUGUGAGUAAGACUUCCAUACAAGAAUUCUAGAGUUGAUCGUGUUCAGUGGACUCCAUCUUCUAUAGAGCACCUACACAUAUGUCUCAGUGUCUCUACACGAAUGACUUGAGACUAGUCAUCCUCCCAAUUGAGCAGACAUAAUGUGUACCAGUCUUUGCGGGUCACCAUUGUCCAAUUGGUGAUCCUAUGAGGAACAUUUUAGGAUACGACAUUUAUAUGUAUGGAAAGGUCUCGUUCAUCUAACUUCUUAAUUAUUGUGAUAACAUGAAUGCCAUUUUACUACUCAACAAGAGACAAGAUGGUCUCAAAAGACCCCUGGUCAACUAUGCGGUCAAACUAGUCAUAUUGAUCAAUCGAUGGUCAACCGGGCCUACAGGGCCCACGACCUCCGAUUUACAAUUCGAAAGUUCCUACUGGUACGAUAAGGUCUACUAAAUAAGUCCUGUAAGUUUGGUCUCGAUCGAAGGUUGGAUGUAAACCAAUCGCAUGAUUAGACGACGAUCGCUUUGCCUAAUACUAGAAUCAUUGAUUAGGAGUAUCCGCGGCUCCGAUUCUUGAUCCACAAGUUCUUAUAUGAUCCUAGAGGUAACAUACUUGGAAAUGGAGACGAUCCAACUGUCCGAACAUAUCGAACCCAGAUAUCGCGUAACAGGCAUAAAUCUGUUCGACUAUCAUACGAUAAUCAAAUUCAAACUCGAGCACACUGUCGUGUUCGGGAUGACAUGGGAAAAUUUUCAGGACACAAUGACCCGCCACAGAGUGGCCCACGCGCUGCCACACGUGCCCGCAGCACUUGGAUGGCUUGAGUAAAUUUUGGCAAUCGAAAAAUUCUGGAAGCACCCUACAAUACCUAUGCUAAAUGCGUUCAGACUAACUUGGGGAUCAACUUUUGUUCUUGGACCAAGGCCAAAAACUAACCGGAACUAGCCGAAUCGAAGCCGAAACCGUCGGCCAAAAAUGGUUUUAAGAAUCGAUCUGUUAAACCUCAAAAUUAACCCAAACCAAGCAUAUAAACAGGUAGAGCACAAAGAGUAGAUGAAGUUUCAUACAUGGUUCGACAAUUUUGGUUGGCAAAAUCGUUGGAAAUCGCACGAACACUUCCAGCAACGAAAGGGGGUUUUCGGCUCAGAAUGAAGACCAAUAUUGGAGUUUCGAAGUUGGAAAUGGGUAUGGACAUGUAGAGGAGGAAGAUAUGAAGAUUUUGCAAGUUAUGGCAUCGGAUUUGGUGGCCGGACGGUGCCGAAAAACGACGGUGUCACGACGCUUACAGAGGAGAGAGAGAGAGAGAGAGAGAAGGCUGCUGGGUUUUUAAAAAUCCGACUUUGAAAAAUUUAUAGUUGUGCCACUGCACUUCCGUUGACCGUAACUUCUUCGUUAAAAAUCAAUUUGGGCCCACUAUGUGUCUUCGAAUUCGUAUCAAUGAGCUCUAUGCAAUAGUGUCACUCGUUUCCCCAAAAAACUUUCAUAUUAAAAAAUGACCAAAAUGACCAUAUCUUCCAAAGAUAAAAUUGUAAAUUAAAUAAUAAUUAAUUUGGGUCGGGAUGUUACAUGAAUGCUUGGUUGAAUGACCAGAGGUAGUUGGGUGGUUAUGCCCUUAUUCUCGGGAACGUUGUUUUCUUCUCAAAGCAGUGGCGUGUUUGCCAUUCCCUGGAAUCUGAUGUGGUACUGGUACUACACGUUGAAUUCGCUUUGGGUUUCUUUAUAUUAUUGGCUUCUAAUGAGUUGAGUUUAAUGUCAAGAAACUCGCAUAAACACUGACUAAUCGUUGCUUUUCUAUACACCCAUUUGCUAGUUUUGCCUCCUUGAGUAUUUGGAUGUUAUAAUUUGGUAAAUUUUGUUGAUUUUUUAAAAUAGUGGUUCUAAUGGGAUUUUUUGUUUGUUUGUUUGUUUAUUCUUGCUUUAAUUGAUUGUUGAAUUCCAACACGUAGUUUGACGGAGGAAGGGAGUAUAAUCUUGGCGUGCAAUGCAAGUCAACUCUCGCCAACAUCUUUUGCCCUUUUGAUCUCAAAUAUUUUACCCAUGUAUCUAAUGUGCAGAUGUUUACUUCAUGUAUGUAUAUGAAAGUAGUUUUGCUACUGCAAAUUUGUUGAUAGUCCAUCACUCUUGUCAACUAUUGGACCGUUCCACAUGCCUUCAUGAUAACUUAUGGAAUUAAGUUCCCCAAUAUUUCAUUUAUUAAAUUAUCAAUGUUAACUUGGAAUGAUCAAUGUAUAUAUACUUUGACUUUAUUGUGUGCAUGCCAAAGAACAUGGGGGCGAAGAUAGAAUGACAUUCUUACUCAUGAGACAAAACAAGGCAUAUAUAAUUGCGGAUGCACAACUUGCUGAUAUAAUUAUGGGACAACACCUUGAUGCUAGGUGCAUUUUCAUAUCUUUUUAGCAUAUGUACACUGUGGUUCUUAAGAGUAUUGGUGAGACCACAAUCUUCUAAUAAAUUAUAAAGAUAAAUUGGCACCUCGAAAAUGACCUCUUUUUUUAAAAACAAUUUGUUUUUCACUUUGGCACAGCACAUGUAAAAUUGUGUCAUUCAUGGGCUAUAUAGAUUGAACAUUAGGAAAUUCUUUAUUUGUUCCCAAAUUAUACGAUUGUUCCUCCAGUCAAUGUUUUUAUUUUCUAUUUAGAAUUAAUUACUGACUCUUUUAUUUGGUUCAAUUAAUAUUGAAAAGAACGAUAAUGGGCAUUGGAAGAAAAUAUCCGCUCUAGCCAACUUGGCUAAACUUACGUUUGCAAGAAGAUAUUUCAAUUUAAGAGGUCUAAUAUAAUGUUGAAGUAAUGAGACGUGGUAGCCACUAUUACUGAAAACAGAAUUAUUAUUACUUUUUAUACCUGAGGUGCAUCAUAGUCACAUAAUGUUUAAAUUUUUUUAUUGUAAUUUUUCAUUUCUAUAAUACUCGGUGCUUCUAAACAACGUAUCAAGAAAGUACAUAGUGAGGCCACUUGCAGUGGGAGGAAGGAUUCCAAGGGAUACACACUUCUUGGUAGAUGCAUACUUUUGCAAUCCUUCAAGUUUAUCUGAGUAAUUCUUUCAAGCAUUCCAAGGGAUGGGUCAACCUUAUACAAUCGUAUACAACCUUCCAGAAUCAGAUACUCAAGAUUUGGAAAGCCUCUAAAGUCUGGGGUGUUGACAAGAUUCAAAGAGUGGCUGAGCUUAAUGAUUUUCAAAUUGUAUAAAAGCUGUCAAAAGAACACAGUAAAAAAAUUAGCUUCAAAUUCUAUGAAAGGCUGUCAAGUAAGAACACAUAAAAAAUAUAAAAAAAUCUUCGAUGUUUAAGGUAAUAGAAGAUAAAGCAGUAAUUGUUGAAGGAUAAAUUGUUUCCAGGUUUAGUUUAGUUAGUUAGUUAGUUGGACAGGUGUAUGGCUCAUAUGCCAUCACAUAUUGUUGGACUAACAUGUCCAGAUUCAUGCCAAGUGUACAGCUCACAUGCUGGUACAAAUGUAUUGGCUGAGUCAUUUUCUGUACUAGCUAAAAUAUAUAUAUUGAAAGUAGGAUGAGAUCACACAAUGAGUGUGUGCAUGAUUACAUUCUUUUUGCCUAACAGAUUCUCUCCCUCUCCUUUCUCCCUAAAACCUUUUCUCAUACACUUUCUGUGCAUGAACCUCUACUAUUCUAUAGAAACUUCAACAUGGUAUCAGUAGCAAAGGUUCUGAUCUGAGACUGGGCGUAGUGAAAUCACAAUCCAGCUGAAGGAAGCAUUAUCUAGUCUCACAUGGCUGGAUCUAGCAUGAGUGAGCUUCGUGCUCCCAUCUUCAAUGGAAGCAACUACGAUUUCUGGAGAAUAAAGAUGUGCACAAUCUUCAAAUCUCACAAGCUGUGGGAUAUGGUUGAGAAUGGAUAUGGGCAACCUGUGAAGAUGGAAGAAGGAGAAACUCUGACAGCAGCUGUGGAAGAAAAUAUUGCAAAAGAUGCUAAGGCAUUGGGUCUGAUCCAGAAUGCAGUUUCUGAUGAUAUUUUUCCCAGAAUUGCUUUGAAGGAAUCAGCCAAGGAAGCAUGGGAAAUCCUGCAGCAAGAAUUCAGAGGAGACAAGAAGGUAAGAUCUGUGAAACUUCAAGCUCUUAGGAGAGAAUUUGAAUACACUCGUAUGCAUGAUGAUGAAUCAUUGUCUGGAUAUGUCACUAAACUGCUUGAGCUAGUAAACCAAAUAAAGGCUUAUGGUGAAGAGUUAACUGAACAGAGAAUUGUUCAGAAACUCUUGAUUAGUUUAUCCAGAGAAUAUGAUUCCAUUGCUGAGGUUAUAGAGGAGACAAAAGAUACAGAAACUAUAGGGGUUCAAGAGGUUAUAGGCUCUCUAAAAUCUCAUGAACAAAGGCUGCAGAGGCAUAAUGAGAGAGUGACUGAGAAGGCUUUCUCUAGUUUGAAUGUGAGCUCUAAAGAUCAGUCUAACACAGGGCAGGCAGGGGGUUCCAAAUCCAAAAAGAAUUGGAAAUCUCAGAAAGGGAAGAAGUGGGACUCAAAGUCUGAAAAUAAUUUUAAAAAGGAAAGUCAGACUGAGGGAGCAAAGGUGCCUUGCAAAACCUGUGACAAAUUGCACUAUGGUGUCUGCUGGUUCAAAGGCAAACGUAAAUGUUAUAAAUGUGAUAGGUUUGGUCAUAUAGCCAAAGACUGCAAGGGAAAACCAGAAGCUGCUAACUAUGCAUCACACAAGGAGGAAGAAGGCAACAUGUUCUAUGCUUGUCAUGCUGCUGCAAUAGUAAAAAAUAAUGGUGUGUGGUAUGUGGACAGUGCAUGCAGCAACCACAUGACUUCACAAGCAUCCCUUCUAGUCAAUAUUGACACCAAAGUCACUGCAAAGGUAAAAAUGGGCACUAGAGACUUAGUGGAAGCAACUGGAAAAGGAACUUUGGUGAUUGACACUAAAGCUGGGCCUAGAUAUAUCAAAGAGGUUAUGCUUGUACCAGGAUUGGAUGAAAACUUACUUAGUGUAGGUCAAAUGGUAGAGCAUGGCUACUAUCUUGUCUUUGGUGAUUCUAUGGUUGAAAUAUUUGAUGACAGGUCAAUGGAGAAUCUGCUUGCAAAGGUUUCCAUGACAGGAAACAGAUGCUUCCCACUGUCAUUGAAAUAUGCAAACUCAGUGGCUAUGAAAGCAACAGUUGAAGAAUCCACUUCGUGUUGGCAUAGGAGGUUUGGCCAUUUGAAUAUGCAGAGUCUGAAGUUGUUACAACAACAGGAGCUGGUCUAUGGUCUGCCUGAAAUUGGAAAUGCAAACAGAAUUUGCCAAGACUGUGCAAUUGGAAAAUCCCACAGAGAGGCCUUUGGCAAAGAGAAAAUUUGGAGAGCUAGUUUACCUCUGGAGCUGGUUCAUUCAGAUGUUUGUCGUCCAAUGCAGACCACAUUAAUAGGUGGAAACAAAUAUUUUUUGACUUUCAUUGAUGACUGCACCAGAAUGUGCUGGGUGUACUUCAUGCAAUUCAAGUCAGAAGUUUUUAACAUCUUCAAGAAAUUUAAGGCUAUGGUAGAAUUACAAAGUGGCUACAAACUGAAGAAACUUAGGAGUGACAGAGGUGGGGAAUAUACCUCUGCUGAAUUUCUGCAGUUUUGUGAAGAAAUUGGUUUGGAAAGACAACUAACCGUGGCCUAUUCACCUCAGCAAAAUGGAGUUGCUGAGAGAAAGAACAGGACCAUUGUUGAGAUGAGCAAGACAAUGAUGAAAGAGAAGAAACUACCAUACAAAUUUUGGGGAGAGGCAUUGAAUACAGCUGUCUAUAUUCAGAAUAGAUGCCCCACAAAAGCUUUAGAUAAUGUCACUUCAUUUGAAGCUUUUAGUGGAAGAAAGCCUGGGGUUAAACACUUAAGAGUGCUUGGUUCUAUAUGUUUCUGUCAUGUGCCUAAUUAGUUGAGGUCUAAGCUGGAAGAUGCAGCUGUUAAGUGCAUUUUUGUUGGCUAUGGCAAAUGUGAAAAGGGGUACAAAGUGUACAAUUUGCAAACCAACAAGAUCACUACAUCUAGAAGUGUGAUCUUUGAUGAGAACUCACUAUGGGAUUGGGACAAGCAAAUUGUUGAUUCUGUCACAGUUCAGAUGAGGCUUGAAGACACUUCUAGAAGUAGUGAAAAGGAGCAUGAAGAAACAAUGAUAGACAUUUCCAGUCCACCUCAAGUAACUGCAGCUGCUACAAAUGUUACUUCACCAAGUGAUUCUCCAAGUUCUACACCUGUAAAGCUUAGAGACAUCACUGAGAUUUAUGCUAGAUGCAAUAUGAGCAUCAUUGAGCCAGAGAAUUUUGCAGAAGCAUCAAAGGAUAAGGCUUGGCAAAAGGCAAUGGAAGCAGAAAUGGAAAUGAUUGAGCAAAAUGAGACUUGGGAACUAGUAGAUAGACCAAGUGAUAAACCUGUGAUUGGUGUGAAAUGGGUUUAUAAGACCAAAUUGAACCUUGAUGGCUCAAUACAGAAGCAUAAAGCAAGGCUGGUGGUCAAAGGCUAUGCACAAAAGCCUGGAAUCGACUUCAAUGAGACUUUUGCUCCUGUGGCCAGACUUGACACAAUUAGAACUCUCAUAGCUUUGGCAGCUCAAAAGGGGUGGAAAUUAUACCAGUUAGAUGUCAAGUCUGCAUUCCUAAAUGGUGUGCUUAAGGAGGAAGUUUAUGUAGACCAACCGGAUGGAUUUGUAACUACAAACUAUGAAGACAAGGUGUACAAGUUGAAGAAAGCCUUGUAUGGUUUGAAACAGGCUCCAAGAGCCUGGUAUGAGGAAAUCAAUGCCUAUCUUGUUAGCUGUGGUUAUGUCAGAAGCACAAGUGAGGCUACAUUGUAUUGCAAGACUAAGGAAGACUCUGGAACUCUAAUAGUCUCAAUCUAUGUUGAUGACAUUGUGUAUACAGGCAGCAGUGAAGAAUUAAUUGAUGAAUUUCAAGACUGAAAUGAUGAGAAGGUAUGAAAUGACUGAUUUAGGCCUUUUAUAUCAUUUCCUUGGUAUGGCAGUGAUUCAAACUGAAUCCUGCAUUUUCAUAAAUCAAAAGAAGUAUGCUCUGACGUUGCUGGACAAGUUUGGUUUGAAGCAAUGUAAGCCAGUUAGUACUCCUCUAGUGGCAACUAAAAAAUUGUGCAAAGAUGAUGGAAGUGAUCCUGCAGAUGAGAGUGAGUACAGACAGAUUGUGGGUAACCUAUUGUAUUUGACAACUACAAGACCAGACAUAAUGUUUGCAGCUAGCCUAUUAGCUAGAUUCAUGCAUUGUCCAACAAAGAAACACUAUGGAACGGCCAAGAGAGUGCUGAGGUAUAUUCAAGGCACCAUUGAUUUUGGUAUUGAAUAUCAGAAAGGAAAAGAAGCCAUCCUAAUUGGAUAUUGUGACAGUGAUUGGGGUGGAAGCCAAGAUGACAUGAGAAGCACCUCUGGCUAUGCUUUCUCUUUUGGCAGUGGAGUAUUUUCUUGGGCAUUAGUCAAGCAACAUAGUGUUGCUCUCUCCACGGCUGAGGCUGAGUAUGUCAGUGCAAGUGAAGCUACUACACAAGCAAUAUGGUUGAGGUUUGUUCUAGAAGAUUUUGGAGAAUUGCAAACUGAUGCAACUCCAUUAAUGGUUGACAACACUUCUGCCAUUGCAAUGACAAGAAAUCCGGUUUUCCAUCAGAAAACCAAGCACAUCAACCGCAGGUAUCAUUUCAUCCGAGAUGCUCUACAAGAUGGAGUUGUGGAUUUGAGAUACUGCAGGUCUGAAGAACAAGUGGCUGACAUCUUCACUAAAGCUCUAUCUAAAGAUCGGUUUAACUAUCUUAGAGGAUUGCUUGGAGUUAAACCUGUUAACAAUUUAGAAGGGAGUGUUGAAGGAUAAAUUGUUUCCAGGUUUAGUUUAGUUAGUUAGUUAGUUGGACAGGUGUAUGGCUCAUAUGCCAUCACAUAUUGUUGGACUAACAUGUCCAGAUUCAUGCCAAGUGUACAGCUCACAUGCUGGUACAAAUGUAUUGGCUGAGUCAUUUUCUGUACUAGCUAAAAUAUAUAUAUUGAAAGUAGGAUGAGAUCACACAAUGAGUGUGUGCAUGAUUACAUUCUUUUUGCCUAACAGAUUCUCUCCCUCUCCUUUCUCCCUAAAACCUUUUCUCAUACACUUUCUGUGCAUGAACCUCUACUAUUCUAUAGAAACUUCAACAGUAAUAACGUACCUUAACACCCGUCCAAAAAGAUUCAAUGUGACUAUGGCACAUGUUAAGUUCUAGUAGGUUCUCUGGAUUGAAAUGUGAGGGGAAAUAUUUUGAAGGAUACCCAGCCCAUUCAAGACUUCGUAAAUUAUCGGAGAGAUAUUCAAGAUCAUUAGAGAGGUUCACAUUAGCAAGAUUGAGAAGUCUCAGUUUCUUCAUCCUUGAAAAGCAUUUAGCAUUCGCGUGCAACACUGGCCCAGUUUUGUCCGUGGUUAUACUUUCUACUGCGUCUGUUCCCUAUCAAACAUGCACGGAUAAAGAAUAGUGAAGCUCAUAUAACUAACAUAUGAAAAGAACUGUAACUCAUUUGUAAACUAAGAGUCCCCUUACUGUAUUUUUGCUCAAGACAUGCUUGGUCUCUUCAUGGCGCCACAACCUGCUGCGAUUUCCUGGCUCAUCAAGACACUCUCGAUUGACAAUUUCACAUCCCAUCUCUUGGACCAACUGAUGCAUCCAUAGAGUGACAUAUGAAUUAGUUAACAGAGAUUUCUCAAUGAGGACAUCUAUUCCUAUACCUGCACAAAAGCCGCAACUGUCUAGGAUUUCUAUAACUCGAUCUUCUUUCUCCCUGUUAAAGAAACACGCAAUGUCUAGGAAAAUUUUCUUCUCCUUGUCAUCUGGAUCAUCGUAAUUUAUUUGAAGUGUCCCCAAAACUAUGUUACAAAUACCUCUUAGUUUACCCAACGCACUGUUCCAAGCACUUACAUGUCUUUCACGCAAAAAACUCCCCAAAACUUUAAGAGCUAGUGGAAGACCAUCGGCAUAACUCACAACACAGCUAGACAAUUCAAUAUAGUUUUUUUUCAGGGUGGUCUUUUCCAAAGGCUUUCCAACUAAAAAGCUUAAGAGCGUCAUCAUGAUUUAGAGGUUUGACAUGAAAUCUUCUCUUCACUCCAUGUUCAAUUAACAAAUGCUCAUUUCUAGUUGUAAUAAGAACUCUACUCCCAGAACCAAACCACUCUUGCUUUCCAGCCAAAUAAUCUAAAUGAUCUGAGUCGGUCACAUCAUCGAGAAUGAGAAGAACCUUUUUGUGAUGAAGUAAUCUUCUAAUCAUUGUGGAUCCUUCAUGAACAUCAAAUAUGUCAAUCGUUUUCAUCGAUAUCCUUGAAAGAAUUUCUCUUUGUUGGGAUAUUAAACCACGUUUUUGAACAUUAUCUUUGACAUUCUCAAGAAAUAUGCUGAAUUCAAAUUCAGGAGAGAUUCUCUCGCGAACAACUCUGGCAAUAGUUGUUUUACCAAUCCCACCCAUACCCCAUAUCCCUAUAAAGCGAACAUCAUCGACUCCUGCACCUAACAAUAAAUCAAUUGAGUUCAUACUUGAGUCUAAUCCAACUGAGUUCUCCACAGAAGUAAACGAUGUAGGAUGUAAUCUUUUCCAUAUCACAUCGAUUAUAUCUUUGAUGAGCAAGGUUUCGUACCUAUAACAUAUUAACAUCAAUAUCAGUCAUAAAGAAUCAACAUGCAUAUAUGUUUUCUCUAGUUUUUAUACAAAUACUCUUGAUCACUGAAAAGAAAAGUUGUCAGACCAUAUAUAAAAAUACUCCUGGCUUAAGGUCGAAAAAGAAGCAGCUAUAUUAUUCAUUGCAUGUGCCCAAACCCCAUUAUGCAAUAGCCAAGUAGGCCUAAUAUUAUCCAGAAUAAGAGCGCCAAAGAAAAUCACCAAACUAGUCAUUCUGAUUUGCAUGUGAUCAAUUUUUGUUUUAAAAAAAAUAUUGUUUAAAAAGUUGUUUGGUUAAUAAUUUCAGUUUUAUGUGAAACUUAGAAAUUGAAAAAAAAAAAAGAUUUGGUCAAAUGGUGAAUUAGAUAUCAUAGAAUUAAAGUGCAAGUUACAAAGAGUUCAUAGUAUUUUUUGGUGAAAUUUUUAAAGUUUAGGAUUUUUUUUUUUUGUUAAUUUUUUAUUUGGAGGUCAUUAUGCUUGGAUGUCCUCAGCUGAAUGCAAGAGUCGAGGGGCCAGAUCCAAUUCAGGAGGUCCCAAAUAUCAAGUAUUAGUAACUGGAGUGCAAUACAUGUGUAGUGAUGUAAAAUUGGUGAAUGAAAAGUGUGUUAACUGUGAUAUUAAACAGUUAGUAAAUCAGGUGUGCAAGGCACGUGGGUUGUUAGUAGAAUUAGUUAGACAGUUAGAUUAGUUAUACGGGUAAGCUUUGCAUAAACUGAUAUAAAGUGUAACAGUGCUGGUGAAUGUGGUUAAGCAAUACAGAAAUCAGAAUUUACAAUUUUCUCUCUGUUUCUAUUUCCUUCCCCUUCUUCUUCUUUAGAUAUCGUCUUCACUCCUCUCUGAAUAUGUUUGUUCACAUGGUAUCAGAGCAAGGCUUCACGUGUUGGGCUCAACGGCCACACGUGCUCCCACGUCACCCAAUAAGCUAGGCUAGUUGCUCAGGGAUUUAGUCAACAACCUGGUUUAGACUUUGGGGAAACAUUUAGCCCUGUCGUCAGACAUACGGGACCUAGCCUGGGCUUAUAAGGAGUUGGGCUACUCCCCCCAUUGCCAAUUGGUUUUGGGGUGGAACCUCAACUUUCUUCAUGGUAUUAGAGGAGGAGGUGUUUAUGCGUCAACCACAAGGGUAUGAAGAUCCUGCUCAUCCAGAGUAUGUGUGUAAGCUCAAGAAAUCAUUAUAUGGUCUAAAGCAAGCUCCAAGGGCUUGGAAUGCUAAAUUCACAGGAUAUCUGCCAGCACUGGGGUUCAAAAUAUCUCACUCUGAUCCGAGUCUGUUUGUGAAACACGAAGGUUCAGAUGUGAUCGUGUUGCUGCUAUAUGUCGAUGAUAUUAUAUUAACUGGCUCUAAUGCAGAUUUGGUACAAAAUGUGGUUGAUAACCUGAGUUCAGUUUUUGAAAUGAAAGAUAUGGGUCGCCUUGCUUAUUUCUUAGGAUUGCAAAUUGCAUAUCCUGCCUCAGGAGGUUUGUUUGUGAGUCAAACGAAAUAUGCUAAGGACCUGUUGCAUAAAGCUGGAAUGCAGUCGUGCAGAGCAUGUUCAACUCCAUGUAAACCACAUAAUCAAAUUUUGACAGAUUGUGGUGAACCGUUAUCUGAUCCCACCAUGUUUAGAAGUGUUGUUGGGGCUUUACAGUAUUUGACAUUCACAAGACCUGACUUGGCCUAUGCAGUAAACACAGUCUGUCAAUAUAUGAAUAAUCCUACUUAUGUUCAUUGGUUGCUAGUCAAAAGAAUCUUAAGAUAUGUUCAAGGCACUCUGAGCUUUGGCAUCAAUUUUACGAGCAGUACUAGAGUAAGUGAUCCUUGGCAGUUGUCAGCAUAUAGUGAUGCUGACUGGGCUGGGGACAUCAACACAAGGAGAUCUACCACAGGUUUUGUAGUGUUUUUAGGACCUAAUCCCAUCUCUUGGCAGUCCAAAAAGCAGGGAUCAGUCUCCAGGAGCUCCACAGAGGCAGAGUAUAGAGCCUUGGCAAACACUGCUGCAGAUAUUGCUUGGAUCAGACAGGUGUUGCAGGAUGUGAAAUUCUUUCUACCUAAUCCUCCUGUAAUGUAUUGUGACAAUCUAUCUGCCUUAGCACUUAGCUCCAAUCCUGUCUACCAUUCCAGGAUCAAACAUCUGGACAUUGACUAUCAUUUUGUGCGAGAGAAAGUUCAGAAGAAAGACUUACUGGUACAGUAUGUCCCUACAGAAGAACAAGUGGCAGAUGUAUUCACAAAAGGAUUACAUAGUCCUAUAUUCUCAAGACAUUGUAGUCAUCUUCGAUUAGGAGAUGUAACAGGGUAGGGAAAAUGUUAACUGUGAUAUUAAACAGUUAGUAAAUCAGGUGUGCAAGGCACGUGGGUUGUUAGUAGAAUUAGUUAGACAGUUAGAUUAGUUAUACGGGUAAGCUUUGCAUAAACUGAUAUAAAGUGUAACAGUGCUGGUGAAUGUGGUUAAGCAAUACAGAAAUCAGAAUUUACAAUUUUCUCUCUGUUUCUAUUUCCUUCCCCUUCUUCUUCUUUAGAUAUCGUCUUCACUCCAUUAGAGCCAGUUAAUAUAAUAUCAUCGACAUAUAGCAGCAACACGAUCACAUCUGAACCUUCGUGUUUCACAAACAGACUCGGAUCAGAGUCUGAAAAUUAUAUUUCACUUUUUUGAAAUAGAAAAUUAAAUUUGUUUCCAAACAUGUUUUCAGUUUUCAAUAAAACUGAAAAUUAAAUGGAUAUCAAGAAACCCCUUGUAGCUAAUGAAUCUGGCAUAAUAAACCAUCCCGAAUCCUAACCCUUCACUAAUUUCACCCCUUGGCUACAAACCCUAAACUUAAUUUAAUCUUGAUCUUCC
rnacentral:lncRNA from 1 species